rnacentral:rRNA from 1 species
CCCUUAGACGUUCUGGGCCGCACGCGCGCUACACUGACGAAGGCAACGAGCUUUCCUUUACCGAAAGGUACGGGUAAUCUUUUGAAACUUCGUCGUGCUGGGGAUAGAUCCUUGCAAUUUUUGAUCUUAAACGAGGAAUGCCUAGUAAGCGCAAGUCAUCAACUUGCGUUGAUUACGUCCCUGCCCUUUGUACGCACCGCCCGUCGCUACUACCGAUUGAAUGGUUUAGUGAGGCCUUCGGAUCCGCGACUCGCUUGUGGAGAAGUUGGACAAACUCAGUCAUUUAGAGGAAGUAAAAGUCGUANCA